UGUAAAUCAGGGAAGGUUUCAGACAUCGACCUUGAGCUAACCUCAUCCAACUUUUUUCAACUGACGUUAAAAUAAAAGCAGUCUUUGGCGGCGAGACCACCAUCCACUGCUGCGUCACCAGAUUGUAAAAAUGUUCUAGAACGGAAAUGGUAAUCUACUAGAGGCUGGAUACGUGUACUCUAUACAUGCCUCUGUGAAUUAAAAUAAAAUAUGUACCUGCUCGCAACAACUAAACAUUCUUCUUCAGAUCUGACUCCACCUGGG